rnacentral:rRNA from 1 species
GAUGAACGCUAGCGGCAGGCUUAAUACAUGCAAGUCGAGGGGCAUCAAGGUACACGAAAGUGUAUUGUUGGCGACCGGCGGACGGGUGAGUAAUAGGUAGGUAACCUACCUCAUACUGAGGCAUAGCUGGGAGAAAUUCCAGGUAAUUCCUCAUGAGGUUAUAUGACACAUGUGAUAUAAUCAAAGGUAUCGCAAGGUACUGGUAUGAGAUGGGCUUACUGACCAUUAGCUAGUUGGUGAGAUAAGAGCUCACCAAGGCGAAGAUGGUUAGGGGUUUUGAGAGAGACGAUCCCCCACAUUGGAACUGAGAUACGGUCCAGACUCCUACGGGAGGCAGCAGUAGGGAAUAUUGGGCAAUGGGCGGAAGCCUGACCCAGCCAUGCCGCGUGAAGGAAGACGGCCUUAGGGGUUUAAACUUCUUUACUAUGCGACUAACUAGAUUUACGAGAUAAUUCUAUAGAAUGUAGCAUAGCAAAAAGCACCGG